rnacentral:rRNA from 1 species
AACAGGAUUAGAUACCCUGGUAGUCCACGCCGUAAACGAUGUCGACUUGGAGGUUGUGCCCCUGAGGCGUGGCUUCCGGAGCUAACGCGUUAAGUCGACCGCCUGGGGAGUACGGCCGCAAGGUUAAAACUCAAAUGAAUUGACGGGGGCCCGCACAAGCGGUGGAGCAUGUGGUUUAAUUCGAUGCAACGCGAAGAACCUUACCUGGUCUUGACAUCCACAGAACCUUGUAGAGAUACGAGGGUGCCUUCGGGAACUGUGAGACAGGUGCUGCAUGGCUGUCGUCAGCUCGUGUUGUGAAAUGUUGGGUUAAGUCCCGCAACGAGCGCAACCCUUAUCCUUUGUUGCCAGCGGUCCGGCCGGGAACUCAAAGGAGACUGCCAGUGAUAAACUGGAGGAAGGUGGGGAUGACGUCAAGUCAUCAUGGCCCUUACGACCAGGGCUACACACGUGCUACAAUGGCGCAUACAAAGAGAAGCGACCUCGCGAGAGCAAGCGGACCUCAUAAAGUGCGUCGUAGUCCGGAUUGGAGUCUGCAACUCGACUCCAUGAAGUCGGAAUCGCUAGUAAUCGUGGAUCAGAAUGCCACGGUGAAUACGUUCCCGGGCCUUGUACACACCGCCCGUCACACCAUGGGAGUGGGUUGCAAAAGAAGUAGGUAGCUUAACCUUCGGGAGGGCGCUUACCACUUUGUGAUUCAUGACUGGGGUGAAGUCGUAACAAGGUAACC